AUGGAGAAUGCAUUGGCCAACUUAUGGGAGAUGUAUGAAGAGUGCCAGGGGAACAAGAUUGAGGAAAAUCUGAUGAGCUCAUUUGUUGUUCAUAGUCUGACACAAGAGAAGAUCAAGUUGCAGGCGAGUUAUGAGAGGUUGGUUAAAGAUGUCAAUGCCCUUUUGGAUGCCCAGGAGCAGAGGGCUCAGAUGGAAAAGAAACCUGAUGAGAGCAAGCUGCAGGAGAAGUAUGACAUGGUGAAGAACCUGAUAGCUGCUAAAGCCAGUGUCAUUAAGAACAUGAAGUUGAAGCUAACUGAAGAGAAGAAGAAGAUGCAAGCCACCAUUACCGGGCUUGAAAAGGCUGUGGAAAAGAACAAGGUGAAGCUGGUUCGGAUCAAGGCCAUCUUAGAGGAAUGA
rnacentral:rRNA from 1 species